rnacentral:rRNA from 1 species
AACCUGCCCAAGAGAUCGGGAUAACACCUGGAAACAGAUGCUAAUACCGGAUAACAACAGAUGAUGCCUAUCAACUGUUUAAAAGAUGGUUCUGCUAUCACUCUUGGAUGGACCUGCGGCGCAUUAGCUAGUUGGUAGGGUAACGGCCUACCAAGGCGAUGAUGCAUAGCCGAGUUGAGAGACUGAUCGGCCACAUUGGGACUGAGACACGGCCCAAACUCCUACGGGAGGCAGCAGUU